rnacentral:lncRNA from 1 species
CUCUGUCCUGCUCUGCCAUGGUAGAUGUGCUUGCUUUCCCUUUGCCUUCUGCCAUGAUUGUAAGUUUCCUAAGGUUUUCCAGCCAUGCUUCCUGUACAGCCUGCAGAACUGCUCUUUCCUUUAUAAAAUACCCAGUCUCAGAUCGUGUAGACUUCAAUUGGCAGAGUUACUCAGUAUUAUUUACUUGGAAAAUCCUCUGUAACCUAAAAGUCCUAGCUCUCCUGACACUAAGGAUGACAAUGGAACACUUAAAUGGCCUGUUAUUUGAUGAAGAUGAUAUAAAUAGAAGCAGAGCAGCACAUAGUGUGACCACGAAAGGCCAAAGAGCACAUACUGGAGACCUGAAUGUCAACCAAACUGCAUAAUCCCUGUUUAUCUUCAUUGUAGAAAUUGCCAUAACCAUAGUAUUUGUUUUACUCUGAUGAUCCCAUGGAGUCUCUGCUAUAAGCUACAAGGAAGAUUUUGUGAGUUCAGCCAAGAACGAGAGCUUCGGAGCCUUCAGGAAAAGGCUUGUACUGCAACCUGUUGACUUAUCAAAGCUGAUCUGAUAUUGAUUAGAGCAGGGAUCAGCAAAGGAUGGCCUGCUUCCCCGGAAAGACACUGCCUGUUUUUGUAAAUGUUUUAUUGAAGCACAACAUGUCCACUUACAUUUGUAUUGUCUUUUGUGACUUUUCUUUUGCUAAAAUGGCAGAGCUCAGUAGUUGUGACAGAGAGAAUCUGGCCUGCAAAUUAUUAUUUUUUCUUUUUCUCUUGCCCAUGCUGCAGUGCAGUCACAGCUCACUGCAGCCUUGAACUCCUGGUCUCAAGAGAUCCUCCUGCCUCAGCCUUCUGAGUAGCCAGGAUUGUAGGCACAUGCCAUCAUGCUCAGCUAAUUUUUUAAUUUUUUGUAGAGACUAAAUCUUGCUUUGUUGUCCAGGCUAGUCUUGAACUCCUGGGCUCAAGGUGCUCUCCCACUUCAGCCUCCCAAAGCACCAUUAUUACAGAUGUGAGCCAUUGCUCCUGGCCUGGCCUGCAAAUUCUAAAAUAGUUACUCUCUGAGAUUUUACAGAGAUAAUUUGCUCUCAGAUUCUACCAGUGGAUGGGGCUGGGUUUCUCGUAUUAUUUUAGGUUGAAAACUAGACAGCUUUGUGAAACUGGUAACACAAGAUUCAGCAGCACAAGAAUUAAUUAAAUAUAUCUAAAUGAGCUAAUGAGGAAAUUUUUAUUGUAAUAAUUUGUUUGUUUGAAAUAGUGUUGUUUUGUUUUUCUAUUUUUUGAAUAUAUGAGGAAGUCCUAUCUUUUCUUAAGCCAUUAACAACCCACAGAAGUUUAAUAAACUGCUUUCGUAAACUGAAAAAAAAAUUUGUAAAUGGUAGCUGAUUUAUAAUGACUUUUGUAUUUCAAAGCUUUUACUAAGCAUCAUUACUUUUCAUAGUAACAUAAUUAUGUGAAUAGAUUCAGUAGAAUCUGUUCUCUGUUUUACCAGGUUAUGUUUGGACAAAUCAACUAUGCAACCAAGAGAUGGGAUCUUGCUAUGUUGCCCAGGCUGAUCUCGAACACCGGAGCUCAAGUGAUCCUCCUGCCUCAGCCUCCCAAAGUGCUGAGAUUACAGUCAUGAGCCACCAUGCCUGGCACGAUAGAGAGUCUCUCUCUUGUGGCCCAGGCUGGAGUGCAGUGACACAAUCUCAGCUCAUUGCAACCUCCACCUCCCAGGUUCAAGUGAUUUUCCUGCCUCAGCCUCUCGAGUAGCUGGGACUACAGGUGUGUGCCAUCACGCCCAGCUAAUUUUUUAUAUUUUCAGUAGAGACGGGGUUUAAC